rnacentral:rRNA from 1 species
UACAGAGGUGGCAAGCGUUGUUCGGAAUUACUGGGCGUAAAGGGCGCGUAGGUGGCCUUCUUAGUCAGACGUGAAAUCCCCAGGCUCAACCUGGGAACUGCGUCUGAUACUGGAUGGCUUGAAUCCGGGAGAGGGAUGCGGAAUUCCAGGUGUAGCGGUGAAAUGCGUAGAUAUCUGGAGGAACACCGGUGGCGAAGGCGGCAUCCUGGACCGGUAUUGACGCUGAGGCGCGAAAGCCAGGGGAGCAAACGGG